rnacentral:rRNA from 1 species
AGUGAACGCUGGCGGUAGGCCUAACACAUGCAAGUCGAACGGCAGCACAGUAAGAGCUUGCUCUUACGGGUGGCGAGUGGCGGACGGGUGAGGAAUACAUCGGAAUCUACUUUUUCGUGGGGGAUAACGUAGGGAAACUUACGCUAAUACCGCAUACGACCUACGGGUGAAAGCAGGGGAUCUUCGGACCUUGCGCGAUUGAAUGAGCCGAUGUUGGAUUAGCUAGUUGGUGGGGUAAAGGCCCACCAAGGCGACGAUCCGUAGCUGGUCUGAGAGGAUGAUCAGCCACACUGGAACUGAGACACGGUCCAGACUCCUACGGGAGGCAGCAGUGGGGAAUAUUGGACAAUGGGCGCAAGCCUGAUCCAGCCAUACCGCGUGGGUGAAGAAGGCCUUCGGGUUGUAAAGCCCUUUUGUUGGGAAAGAAAAGCAGCAGGUUAAUACCCCGCUGUUCUGACGGUACCCAAAGAAUAAGCACCGGCUAACUUCGUG